GAAAACUUCUUCUGAAUUCUUUUUUUAAUUACGAACCUGGUUUUUCCCAUUUCUCUUAAAAGGUUAAUAUUUUGUUUUUAAAAAACAAUAAAAUAAAAAAAGGUAAUAUUAUUAUUUUUUUUAUCAUUAAAGUUAAUAUUAACAUACAUUAAGAUUGCUAAGGACAGGCGAAGCGAAAUGAACAUACAUGUGACAAUGCAUAUGACAAUCAUUGUGAUAAUUGUAAAAAAUAGUUACUUAAAAUGCUGAUGGAAACCAACACUUUUUAUGAUGCAAUGUAACGGCAAUUAUCUUGAGUAAACUAAAACAAAAAAAACUUUUAUGAUUCUAUUCGAAAACUCAAUACGCCUCAUUGGAAAAAAAACUUAUUAUUUAUUAUGACCAAGAUGCCGCGCGGGAACGAGAAAAAAUACCUUCAAUUCCUUGAGUUAUAUAAAAAAGCAUAUUCAACACUUAAAAAACAAAAGCAGUAUCAGCAAGCACAAGAGUUGUGGAAAAUAGUAAAAAACAAUGAAUCCUUGUAUGAAAAAAAAAUAAAUGAGUUAAAAGAGAAAGUAACAAAGUCGAAAGUAUCACUUAUGUCAUUCUAGGGAAAUACCAUUUCACCACCUAGCAAAAAGAAAAAAGAUAUCCAUCCAGCGCCGUCUUCGUCAAAUGAAACACGAAGUUUCCUAAAUGCAACUACGACAGAGCCUGCAAGGAUUGAAAUUAAUUUAACAGACAACAAAAAAGAAAGAGAAAAUCCGGCACAAGUUAGGAGUCGAAAGAAAAUCUCAGAUCUUGAAUCACAACGUGCAUCCUUGAUAGUCGUACGUGAUUCUGGUUUAUCUACCGUAACAAAGGAACAAAUAAACACUGUGAAAGAAACCAUAA